rnacentral:lncRNA from 1 species
CGUUGGCAACAAAAUUAAUUUCUCCCUACAACAAAUCCCACGAGGUAAUCACACAAGUGAAAAACAAUACUCAGUAACCAAGUAAUGAACAUAAAUAUUAACUCCAAUGAAUAAGGACGACAAGAAUUGUAAAAAACCUCAUGGAAAUCGUGGGUCACGGACCCACUCAGCAAAACGCUCCAAUUCAUCACAGAAAACAUUGGUGUCAUUGGGAUGGAAUGAAGACAAUUGAACUACAUCAGCCGCUCCCACCGCCCCUGAUUUGGACUUGAACAAAGCAUCCGCAACUUCAUUACGAUCAUCAAAAUUUCACAAUCUAUGGUCCUCGAAACCCCGGAGUUAAA